GUGCCAGCAGCCGCGGUAAUACCGGCAGCCCAAGUGAUGACCGAUUUUAUUGGGCCUAAAGCGUCCGUAGCUGGCCGCGCAAGUCUGUCGGGAAAUCCACCCGCUUAACGGGUGGGCGUCCGGCAGAAACUGUGCGGCUUGGGACAGGAAGGCUCGAGGGGUACGUUCGGGGUAGGAGUGAAAUCCCGUAAUCCUGGACGGACCGCCGAUGGCGAAAGCACGUCGCGAGAACGGAUCCGACAGUGAGGGACGAAAGCCAGGGUCUCGAACCGGAUUAGAUACCCUGGUAGUCC
rnacentral:rRNA from 1 species